CUGCUCAAUGAUUAAAAAUAUUAAAUAGCUGCAGUAUUUAUUAACUGUACAAAGGUAGCAUAAUCAAUUGAGUUUUUAAUGAAGUCUAGAAUGAAUGGUUAAAUGUAAUAUAAACUUUAUCAAUUUAAAAUUAAUAAAUUUUAUUUUAAGAAAAAAUACUUAAAUAUAAAUAUUAGACGAGAAGACCCUAUAGAAUUUUAUAAAUUAAUAUUAUAAAUUAAUUUAUUUAAAUUAAUUAUAAAUAUUAAGGUAUUUUAUUGGGGUUAUAUAAAAAUUUUAUAAAUUUUUUUUAUUAUUAAACAAAUAUAUUUGGAAAUUUAUAAGAAUAUUUAUUAUUAGUUAAUAGAUUAAAUUACCUUAGGGAUAACAGCAUAAUUUUUUUGGAGAGACCAAAUUUAUAAAAAAGAUUAUGACCUCGAUGUUGAAUUAUGGUAAAAUUUUAUUGUAAAUAAUAAAAUUUUUAGUCUGUUCGACUAUUAAAAUCAUACAU
rnacentral:rRNA from 1 species